GACGAACGCUGGCGGCGUGCUUAACACAUGCAAGUCGAACGGUGAUGCUCCAGCUUGCUGGAGUGGAUCAUUGGCGAACGGGUGAGUAACACGUGAGCAACCUGCCCCAGACUCUGUAAUAAGCGCUGGAAACGGCGUCUAAUACUGGAUACGAUACUGUCCCGCAUGGGCAUGGUUUGGAAAGUUUUUCGGUUUGGGAUGGGCUCGCGGCCUAUGAGCUUGUUUGUGAGGUAAUUGCUCACCAAGGCUACGACGGGUAGCCUGCCUGAGAGGGCGACCGGGCACAAUGGGACUGAGACACGGCGCAGAAUCGAACGGGAGGCAGCAGUCGGGAAUAUUGCACAGCGGGCGCAAGCCUGAUGCAGAGACGCCGCGUGAGGGAUGCCGGCCUUCGGGUUAUAAACCACUGUCAGCAGAGAAGAAGCGAAAGUGACGGUACCUGCAGAAGAAGCCCCGGCUAACUACGUG
rnacentral:rRNA from 1 species